UGCCAGCAGCCGCGGUAAAACGUAGGACGCAAGCGUUAUCCGGAAUUACUGGGCAUAAAGCGCACGUAGGUGGUUGCGUAUGUCGAUGGUGAAAUCCUACGGCUCAACUGUAGAACUGCCAUCGAAACUACGUAGCUAGAGGACAGGAGGGGAGAGUGGAAUUCCUAGUGUAGCGGUGAAAUGCGUAGAUAUUAGGAGGAACGCCGGUGGCGAAAGCGACUCUCUGGACUGUUUCUGACACUGAGGUGCGAAAGCUAGGGGAGCAAACAGGAUUAGAUA
rnacentral:rRNA from 1 species